rnacentral:lncRNA from 1 species
GUUAAUUAAAUGGAGGAUACUAGCAGACCCUCGAGAUACUUGGUGAUCCCUCGUGAAUAAAUGGAGGAUACUAGGAGAUUCUAUUGAUACUUAGUGAUCACUCGUGAUUAAAUGGAGGAUACUAGGAGAUCCUCGAGAUACUUGGAGAUCCCUCGUGAUUAAAUGGAGGAUACUAGGAGAUCCUCGGGAUACAUAGAGAUCCCUUGUAUAUAUGAUGAGGAUACCAGGACAUCCCUGAUGUUAAAUAGCAUGUAGUGAUUGUUCGUGUAAUCGUAGAUUGUAUUAGUAGCUUGUUUCUGUUCUACUUAUUAUUUUUUCUAGAUACUCGAGAUUUACUAUACUCCUAGUGUCUAUUCAUUUCAUAUUUAUUUUUAUAUUUAUCUCAUUAGGGCCUCGACCUUCCUCGUCACUACUCAAUCGAGUUUAGGCUUGGCACUUACUGAGUACCGCAGUGGUGUACUCACGCCUCUUUUGCACAUGUUUUUCAUCUGCCGAUCCAGCUACUUCUGAGCAGGCGUAUUGCAAGUAGCUGCCAGGGAGCAUAUUGGAGACUCGAGGUAUACAUCUACUACGUUCGCAGAUCCGCA